rnacentral:rRNA from 1 species
GACAGAGGUGCCGAGCGUUAGGCGGAAUCACUGGGCUUAAAGCGUGUGUAGGCGGACUUCUAAGUACCUUGUGAAAUCCCACGGCUCAACCGUGGAACUGCUUGGUAUACUGGUUGUCUUGAGCCACUUAGGGGCAGUCGGAACAGACGGUGGAGCGGUGAAAUGCGUAGAUAUCUGGAGGAACACCGGUGGCGAAGGCGGCAUCCUGGACCGACACUGACGCUGAGGAGCGAAAGCCAGGGGAGCAAACGGG